GACUCUUCUCUUUAACAUCUACAUGCUUCCACUAGCUUAGUUAAUGGAUAACAAUGAAAUAAGUUACCAUAGCUAUGCAGACGACACACACGUGAUAACAUGAAAAAUGAAAUUGAGAGAAGUGAAAUACAGAUCUAAGAGGAGACAGAGAGAUUCAGGGAGGAGCUAAGAUGUUCCUGAACUAUAGAAGAGAGAGGAACUUCCAUAUUCACCAGAGUUCAACACAGACCAUCAUCAUCACCUUCAUUCAACAUGCUGUCCCUGCAGAACUCAGCUUUUUCUCUGAUAUUGUUUGCAAUCUUAUCAGGCGUCAGCUGUGAAGAUCUGACUCCAGUCAAAACAGAAGAGUUCAGUCCAGAAGGCAGCACUAUUACUCUGUCCUACAAAGCUGGAUCUAAUGCUAAUUAUUACUUCUGGUAUCGACAAUAUCCUGGAAAACCACCAGAGUUCCUCAUCUCACACUCUGUUUCAGGCCAAGUAGGAACUAACCCAAUCCCUGGACUGAAUAUUACAGUGACGAAAAAGCAAAUGGAGUCAAACCGAAUCAAUAUGAUCAUCUCCUCUGCUGCAGUGACAGACUCUGCUGUGUACUACUGUGCUCUGAAGCCCACAGUGACAGGAAACACCAACACUCUGUACAAAAACCUCUGGAGCAAAGACAACACAGUACUGCACAGCAUCCACCAGAGGGAGUCUCUCUCUGUCAGACUUCAGCAGAGUUUAUCAGUCCUCUUUAUACUCGCUGUAGCUCAGAGUUUCUAA